rnacentral:rRNA from 1 species
UACGUAGGUGGCAAGCGUUAUCCGGAAUUACUGGGCGUAAAGCGCACGCAGGUGGCGGCUUAAGUCUGACGUGAAAGCUCCUGGCUUAACUGGGAGAGGUCGUUGGAGACUGGGCGGCUUGAGGCGAGGAGAGGGGUGUAGAAUUCCCGGUGUAGUGGUGGAAUGCGUAGAGAUCGGGAGGAAUACCAGUGGCGAAAGCGGCACCCUGGCCUUGGCCUGACGCUCAGGUGCGAAAGCGUGGGGAGCGAACGGGAUUAGAUACCCUCGUAGUCC